UCCGAAUCAAUACCCAGGUAUUCAAUUUCUUUCAUUAAUUAUAUAUUUAUAAAUAUAAAUAUUAAUACAUUCACUUUUUGCUAUUAUACAGUAAUAAUUGAUUAAAUAAUACUCCAGUGAUUAGGGUUUUUUUGUAAUUUUUUUUUUCCCAAAGAAAGAUGAAGAUUUAGGUUAAUAAAUUAAAGGGUAUGUAGUGUUUUAAGUAAAUGAUAAGAAUGGAUACUCAUGCUACUACAGCAAUAUUACAUUAUGUUCAAAGUGUAUGGCCUUUUUCGAGAAUUCGAUAUGAUGAUUUGAAAGUUUCUGAUUCUUUAGUUAAGGGUUUGGAUUUACCCGAUGAGACCAAACGGUUUGUUUUUGCGAUUAAGGAACCCGAAUCACAGGCUGUUAUUUAUAUACUAUGUGCCCAGAAUUUGUCUGAGAGAUCGGCAGUUGAUGCCGAACGUCUUAUUAGAUGUGUUAGGCCGGAUGCCGUUGUGGGUCAGGUGAAUGAGUUUGAGUUUAACUUUGGCGAUGGUUUAGCGUUGGGUGAUAAUGGUGGUGUUGAUUGUACGGUUCCCACUUCUUCGUUUGGUGUACUUAAGAGAUGUUUUUUGCAUAAGAUUUGUAAAGAUAAGUAUGAGGAUGUGGCUGGGAGUUUGGUUUUGAAAGAGAUUUUUGGUGUUGGUUUUAAUGGGCAUUUUUUGUCUGCAAAAAAGGCAGCCGAAGAAGUUGGUUCUUCGUUUUUGUUGCUUGAAUCGUCUAAUGUGAAUAUAGAAAGUAAGGGUAGUCCCUCGAGUGAGGUUGAAUUAGGUAACGGUUUUCAAGGUUUUAGUGUACAGCCUAAUAAUUUACUGCCACAAAACGUGAGCUCUAAUGUUCCGUCAGGGGCAAGUAGAUAUCUUAUUUCAGAUGAUUAUAUGCGUGCUCAGAUGUUGAAAUCUUUACGCUCUUAUAUGGUUCAAGUAAGUUCUAAUGUGAAUACGGGUCCAGUGAAUGUUGAACCAAAAGAGGAUUAUGAGGUCCCACAGUAUGCUCGUGCUAUUUAUCCUUUGCUUGAAGAUCUGUAUGUCAUAUUUCAUGAAAUACCAUCCAUGGGAAGGGCUUUAGCUAACGCACAAAAGAUGUUUCAUGAUGUUAGCAAGGGAGACAACAUUGAUACUCAUAUACUCUCAGAAGUAUAUGCAUUUCGAAUAGCGGUUGAGGGGUUAAGGAUUGUUCUUAAUAGUGCUGGUCGGAUGCCUAUUAGCAAAACAGGAAACCGUCAAUCAUCUACUGUAGAAUUCUCUGAUCUGCCUAACGAAGAGAAAUCACAUGCUCUUCUUGCAAAUGUACUUCGUAGUCAAACAAAUAACUUUAAGUCAAUAGUUGCAGUGUUAGAUGCUAGUACUUUAGCCGGUAUAAGGAAACACUGGAACACUGUAGUUCCUCCGAAUAUGAAGGAUAUAGUUGAAGAAAUGGUUGCUGAGUCGACAAAAGAUGGUAUAACUACCAAUCACCGUGACAAAAAACGAAGGUUGACAGAUAAACCAGUGGUGGCAGUGGGGGCGGGAGCAACAGCAGUAUUAGGAGUUUCCUCUCUUUCAAAAGCUGUUCCAGCAUCAACUUUUAUGAAAGUUGUUACCUUCAAAGUUCCUGUAUCUUUGAAACUGAUGAUGACACAAACCCAAAAACUCGUUUCUAUAUCACUUACCAAGAUUCUUGGUCCAGCAAAAGUCGUAGCACCGGGUAUGUUCAAUUCUGGAGUACAUUCUGCAUCUUCCUUGAAAGCAGCCGCAUCUGCAGAGAAGAUAAGAGCUAUUGUUCAUAGUGUCAUUGCAUCUGCUGAGAAAACAAGUCUUUCAGCAAUGAGAGGAGCUUUCUAUGAAAUAAUGUGGAAACGUCGCCGGGUUAGGCCAAUUGGGGUUCUUCCAUGGGCUACAUUUGGAUGCAGUGUGGCUACUUGCUCAAGCCUGCUUGUUUAUGGUGAUGGUAUUGAAUGCGUAGUUGAAUCGAUUCCUUCAGCACCUUCAAUUGCGAGUCUGGGUCGAGGGAUUAAAAGUUUACAGCAAACAUCAGUAGUUGUUUCACAAAUGGAAAGCUCGAGGAUACAAAAGACUAUCGACUCGCUUGUCAACAGGUUCAAGAAAUGGAAAACUUCCCCAUGAUGUGUGAGUUUUCAUCUUUCUCCUCUGUUAAAACAAGCUAUGCAUUCUCAUACUGUGUAGAUGAAAAGAUCAUAAUAGUUGGUUUAUCGCCUUUUGUACAUUGCUUAAAUUGGUUUUUGAUAGGAUGUGAAAACAAGAGAUGGUUGGUUUAGAAGAAUUAUGUUUUAGAGAGCUGAUUUCGGUAUAUCAUGCUCAUAAUGAUGCAUAAAGUUGAUCAUCUCCAAGGUAGCUAGUGGUAGGAGACCUUAAAGUCUCAGAAGAGACAAGGGUUGAAACCUUCCUGAGCAAAACUUUGGAAUGGCCUCCAGUCAAAAAAUCGUUCAUGGGAAUACUAGUUAGGCCGCGCGCAUCAGAGACAAAAGCUCGACACUCCCCGGGAUGCAACAAAUGAGAUUUGCCACUUUGGAUUCACAUAGGCAAUUAGGCAGGUUAGAUAACUACAACCAGCCCCCUUUUCAGAGUUCCUAAAAUGCGAGGUAGGUGUGGGAGCUGGUGAGCUGGUUAUAAUGUGAAGAAAUAACACACAGCAGGAAAUUGUGUUUAUUGCUCUAUGCACAACUAUAUUAUCCAAUGCUACUGGCACUAAGGCUCCCAAACUUUCUGCAGAUGAUUGACUAACAGAAGAGAACACAAUCUUAUCAGAGAGGCCCUGUCCACUUUUUGUUUAUCACUUUUAUUGGGAUGUUUAUAUUGAUGCAUAACAUCUUGUACUGAAGGUUUAAAAAGCCAUAAACAUAAAGAAGUCCUAACUCACUUGAUGAACAAGAUCAUUGGUCUCAAUUGUUACAUGCUCAAAUAAUUCUGAUGGGCUACACCAGCUGUAUGAGCAAGAUGCAUUGGUCUCAAUUGUUACAUGCUCUUUACUUUCAUGCCAAUUACAAAGUGUUAGUUCUGUUUAACUUUUUUUUUUUUAAGAACGGUAUCCUAUUCCUAUUCCUAAAUUACAUGCAUGUAUAGGAUACAA